UUACAUAUGCUUGUCUUAAAAAUUACCCCAUGCAUGUGCCAGUUCAGUAUUGAACAGCGAAACUGCAAAGGGCUCAUUAAAACAGUUAUAGUUUAUUUGAUAAUUGAAAAUUACAUGGAUAACCAAGCUAAUUGUUGGGCUAAUACAUGCAUAAAAGUCCGUGUCCCGCGACCGGACUGUAUUUAUUAAAUAUUAAACCUUUCUCCCUCGGGUGAAUGUGGUGAUUCAAAGUAACUGAUCAAAUCGGGGCUUGCUGCAAUAAAUCAUCUAAUUUUCUGCCCUAUCACCUCUCGAUGGUAGUGUAUUGAACUACCAUGGCGCUCACGGGUAACGGAAAAUUAGGGUUCGAUUCCGGAAAAGGAGCCUGAAAAACGGCUACUACACCUACGGGUUGGCAGCAGGGACGUAAAUUACCCAAUCCUAAUUCAGGGAGGUAGUGACAAGAAAUAGCAAGUCAAGGGACAUCGUCCUUACAACAUUGAAAUGAGAACAGUGUAAAUCUCUUAGCGAGGAACAAUU
rnacentral:rRNA from 1 species